GAUGAACGCUGGCGGCGUGCUUAACACAUGCAAGUCGAACGGAAAGGCUCCUGCUUGCAGGGGUACUCGAGUGGCGAACGGGUGAGUAACACGUGGGUGAUCUGCCCAGCACUUCGGGAUAAGCCUGGGAAACUGGGUCUAAUACCGGAUAGGACGAUGGUUUGGAUGCCAUUGUGGAAAGUUUUUUCGGUGUGGGAUGAGCUCGCGGCCUAUCAGCUUGUUGGUGGGGUAAUGGCCUACCAAGGCGUCGACGGGUAGCCGGCCUGAGAGGGUGUACGGCCACAUUGGGACUGCGAUACGGCCCAGACUCCUACGGGAGGCAGCAGUGGGGAAUAUUGCACAAUGGGCGCAAGCCUGAUGCAGCGACGCCGCGUGGGGGAUGACGGCCUUCGGGUUGUAAACUCCUUUCGCUAGGGACGAAGCGCAAGUGACGGUACCUGGAGAAGAAGCACCGGCUAACUACGUG
rnacentral:rRNA from 1 species